rnacentral:rRNA from 1 species
GACGAACGCUGGCGGCGUGCUUAACACAUGCAAGUCGAACGGAGAAUUUAUUUCGGUAAAUUCUUAGUGGCGAACGGGUGAGUAACGCGUGGGCAACCUGCCCUUCAGAUGGGGACAACAUCCCGAAAGGGGUGCUAAUACCGAAUACGAUCACGCUGCCGCCUGGCGGGGGGAUGAAAGAUGGCCUCUAUCUAUAAGCUAUCGCUGAAGGAUGGGCCGGCGUCUGAUUAGCUAGUUGGUGGGGUAACGGCCUACCAAGGCGAUGAUCAGUAGCCGGUCUGAGAGGAUGAACGGCAACAUUGGGACUGAGACACGGCCCAAACUCCUACGGGAGGCAGCAGUGGGGAAUAUUCCGCAAUGGACGAAAGUCUGACGGAGCAACGCCGCGUGAGUGAUGAAGGUUUUCGGACUGUAAAACUCUGUUGUUUAGGACGAAAGUGCCUGUUGCAAAUAGUUGCAGGUAUUGACGGUACUGAACGAGGAAGCCACGGCUAACUACGUGCCAGCCGCCGCAGUAA